UCACCGUGCCUUUCUCGUCACCCGUGGAGGCACGGGCGGCCCACCAGUCCCUGGCCCCACACGUCGGGUCCCAGUGCGGGGCCGUUCAGAAGGAGCUCAUGGUAUCUGGCAACAUCCUAACUGUCCGGCUGACUGCUGAAGACCCUGCCCAACUCCAGCAUUCCAUCACCUCCUCUCUUGACCAGCUUUCCGUGUUGGUUUGGGCCAUGCAGCGCUUCAUGCCCCCAGUUUUCACUUCCCCGGAGCCAGGCAAAAGGGGCUAAUUCUAACCUAGUGUCCCUUCGCUAGGGCACUGAUUCCUACGCCAGUUGCCACUUUAUUAUGGGGGCCUUAUUGUUUUUCCCUAUUGCUAGAGGAGGUGUGUUCUUAAUGUUUGUUACAGCAGAAAAUAAAACUGUUAAUUCUGUA